rnacentral:rRNA from 1 species
AUGUACCACAACAUAUAGUCAUUUGGCAAACAAGAUGGUUUGGAUCGUAGUCAUCUGGAGCUCUACUUCUAUGAUGAUGAUCCCAGUUUAGAGCAUAGGUAUCGCAGUUGUCGCAAAGAGCAGUGCCAGAAAGACAAAGAAGUAAUCACACAACUGGUCGACAUACUUCGUGGCAACCCAUACUCUGAACACCUCCGUAGUAUGGGGCAUGUUGAUGAUGUGGAUGACUAUCACAUAACACUUAACCUUGACCAAAGGAUGGAUCAGAGAAGAUAUAAUGCGCCGACCACUUCAGAACUAGCAGCUGUGUGGGUGGAGGGCAGUGAUUGUCGAAGACAGUUUGGUAAUAGUGUCAUCCUGCAUGGGAAGAAUAGAGAUAUAUAUGGAAUCAAGUCCUAUCAUGGAUGCUAUGAUGCGUUGUCGUACCCUCUAUUCUUCCCUAGAGGCGAACUUGGGUGGCAUACUGAUAUCCCGAAGGAAGGUGUGUCCUAUGAAACUGUGAUGGCAGCUCGUGCAGCCCAUCUAGCUCGUGGUCAUAGUGAUGAGUCCUCUAAUCCUGGUGAUACAGAUGAUGAGGACGAGGAUGAUAAUGUAGGUUAG